rnacentral:rRNA from 1 species
UCAAUAAGCGGAGGAAAAGAAACCAACAGGGAUUGCCCUAGUAACGGCGAGUGAAGCGGCAACAGCUCAAAUUUGAAAGCUGGCUCCGGCCCGCAUUGUAAUUUGCAGAGGAUGCUUUUGGUGAGGUGCCUUCCGAGUUCCCUGGAACGGGACGCCACAGAGGGUGAGAGCCCCGUAUGGAUGGACACCAAACCUGUGUAAAGCUCCUUCAACGAGUCGAGUAGUUUGGGAAUGCUGCUCAAAAUGGGAGGUAAAUCUCUUCUAAAGCUAAAUACCGGCCAGAGACCGAUAGCGCACAAGUAGAGUGAUCGAAAGAUGAAAAGCACCUUGAAAAGGGGGUUAAACAGUACGUGAAAUUGUUGAAAGGGAAGCGUUUGUGACCCACCCGCUGAACUUAAGCAUAUCAAUAAGCGGAGGAAAAGAAACCAACAGGGAUUGCCCUAGUAACGGCGAGUGAAGCGGCAACAGCUCAAAUUUGAAAGCUGGCUCCGGCCCGCAUUGUAAUUUGCAGAGGAUGCUUUUGGUGAGGUGCCUUCCGAGUUCCCUGGAACGGGACGCCACAGAGGGUGAGAGCCCCGUAUGGAUGGACACCAAACCUGUGUAAAGCUCCUUCAACGAGUCGAGUGUUUGGGUGGAACUGCUCAAAAUGGGAGGUAAAUCUCUUCUAAAGCUAAAUACCGGCCAGAGACCGAUAGCGCACAAGUAGAGUGAUCGAAAGAUGAAAAGCACCUUGAAAAGGGGGUUAAACAGUACGUGAAAUUGUUGAAAGGGAAGCGUUUGUGACCAGACUUGCGCCGGGCAGCUCAUCAGGGGUUCUCCCCUGUGCACUCUGCCCGGCUCAGGCCAGCAUCGGUUCUCGUGGGAGGAUAAGAACGGUGGGAAUGUGGCCCCCUCUCGGGGGGGUGUUAUAGCCCGCCGUACGAUACUCCCGUGGGGACCGAGGUUCGCGCUCCGCAAGGAUGCUGGCGUAAUGGUCAUCAACGACCCGUCUUGAAACACGGACCAAGGAGUCGUCCAU